ensembl:lncRNA FTX FTX transcript, XIST regulator
UGGAGAGGUUGUCCUUUUCUGGCAUCAGCGUUGCGGCUCGAGGCAAAGCUGGUCCUGUGCCUGCUGUCCAUUGCCGCUAAGGCCUGCUGCUGCCAUUCAGGCGUGUCUCUCUCUCUCUCUCUCUUUCAUGCCGCUCUCUCCACCCCAUCUUGGGACGGCCAGCUCUAAGAAUUCCUGCUACGACACUGAAUUCAACCAGGAGGUGAUGCCACACUCAAUCAGAAACUAUGCUACUGCUGAAGAGGUAUAUUGAGCCCUGCCUGGUUAACCUCCAGUGAGGUUAUUAGAGAAUUGGGAGAGGCUCAAAUCAGCAUCCUGCACCUAGUUAUCAAACCAUUGUGAAGUCUUGAUUCCUGGAUGGCCAGAAAACUUGUCAUUGGUCAAGAGCAACAUUAAGAUCUGCCUGUUACUCAUACUGAUGCUUCCUGCCCAGCAAGUUCAUCAGAGGGCGAGGAUGAAUUACGGUUGCCAUGAAUGUCCUUGUGAGGCAGUUGGGAAGCCUUGGCUGGAUUGUGAAGGAUAUUUGAAAAGUAUUUUAGAGUCCACCAGAUCAUCCAUGUGAGUGACCAUGCAGCAAAAGAAGGAGGGUCCUCUCAGUGAUUAAGGAUUAUGAAGUAUUAAUUCUUCCACUGAUAUCUCAAAAGGUGAUCUGGACAAAGGAACAGGUAUCUCAGAACAGUGGUUGGUAGGAUGGCGGAGACAUGGACUUCAGAGAGUUCUUGGUAGAAGACUCAAAGAGCCACCUGUCAUGAGACAUCCCACUUCCUUCCCCAGGUUACUUCCAAGACUGAGCAGCCAGGUUUUUGGUAGAUGAGAACAAAUGUUUCUUCCUGAAGCCCUGGGGCUUCAGGUAGGAAGAAGGACUGCUAUACUUGUUCUCACCCUUGGCUUCUGGCUGCUCCAGUUAAACAUGGUUCCCAUUGAUACAGACAUUAGAGUGGGAAAGGACUUCGUUCAUAGACCGAAGACCCUCAAAGGAAAGUCCUUCCAUUUUGGGAAGGGUGACAUUGAUUUCGUUUAGCUGCUUAAGAUAUGUACUUGCUGUUGUCUUGUGAGACAUGACAUCUGAAGCUGAAGAGGAGUCCCUCUCAUUGUUGUCAUUGUCCCACCGGGACUGAAAGUCUCCCAGUUGAGGCAGCAUUUUAGCUUUGAUGUCUACAGGGCAAUCAUGGAUCAGGAAAUUUCUGCAAAUUAGACUUGGAAAACAAGGUCUUGAUCCUUCUUGUCUUUGGACGAAGACUAAUCAUCACUUUUGACUGAAGGUGUAGUGCUGGAGACUAUGUUGGAGGCAGCACCUGAUGCACUAUCCAUAUUCUUCCCCUUGAUCUUGUCUUAAAGUUUUCCAAAUGGAUUCCGAGGCUUGUCUUUGAUGAAAAGGUCAAACAUACUGGCAGUCAUGUUGUUUCUCAUAAGCUGGAUGUCAACCUCAAUUUCUCCUCUUUAUCCUUCUCUCCUGGUUUGGAUUUCAAGGUAUACCACCGCAUCUUCCUGCUCCCCUAGUCUGGGUGCAGGUCCUGCAGGUACACCUCGGCGAAGCCCAAGUACAGUAGCAGCAGCACCUCAAAGGUGGCCUCCUCCUCUGACACUGAGGUGGCAUACUUCUCCUUACCCACCUGAAUCACCGAGUACAUGUUGCUUGUACCGUCAGGCUCUUGGUUCUUGGCCCCUGGCCCUAUGCCUGCAACACUGUCACCUGCACGUGGAUUGGGAACCACAUAGCCCCCGGACCUGCUAAGGCCAUUAAGGACAGGAUGGUGAUGCCUCGGCUGACUGACGUGAGAAGAUUGUCAUGACCCAUGGCCUCUACUGCUGUCCUACCAACAGAAACUUCAUAAUGUUGUGCAGGCGUUACCACUACCUAGUUCCAGAACAUUGCCAUCACCCCCAAAAUAAAUCUUGCAUUCAUUAA